GAAAAUGACACUCUCUUAACUUGGGUGUUCUUUCAAUUCUUAUCUAAUAACCUCUAACAUUUGUUGGUACUCCUCUAUAUGACACUCUCGUCCCAUCCUCAUAAAUUUUUACACAAUAACCUCCAUUAUCCGUGUUGAAUCCCACAUCGGUUGUGGAAAUGGGUAAUGUGCCUCUUAUAUGAGUCAUAGGCAAUCCUCCUCCUUGAGCUAGCUUUUGGGGUGAGUUAGGCCUGACCCAAAUUUAACAUGGUAUCAGAGCCUCCCCAUCCGAUGUUGGGCCUCCCAUGAAUAUGUCACGCACCAGUAAAAUUCUGGGUGUGAGGGGGGUAUGUUGAAUCCCACAUCGGUUGUGGAAAGGGGUAAUGUGCCCCUUAUAUGAGUCAUAGGCAAUCCUCCUCCUUGAGCUAGCUUUUGGGGUGAGUUAGGCCUGGCCCAAAUUUAACAAUCCGUACCCUGCUUUCCAAAUCUAUUGCACAAUGCAGCUUCAAACUCCUCCCAAAAAUUGCUUUCCCAUUUCCAUUCCAAUUAUGGUACCUAGAAUUAGCCUUCCCUACCAAAUAAAUGCUAGGAAAACUCACCAUUUACUCUUUUGGAACCUCAUAAACUUUCAAAAUAUUUGAGGCACUUCUGGAUUCGGGGUCUUGGCUCCCUCUGCCCUUCCCUUAAAAGUAAUUGGCUCCUUUUUGAAAGCACCUUGUCCAUUUCCAUCACAGAACUAGAACUAUUCUAAUCCUUUGAGAAUUCAAGAAUUCCUUUGGGGAAGGCAACAACGUUUUGCUUGAUUCCCUAUUGGUUUCCUUGUCCCCAGGAAUUACUCCUUUAGAACCUUAAUAAGCUAGAUUCAUCUGUUUCCCUUUAUUUCCUUAUUGUAAGUUUGUAACAGUAGUCAAUUCAUCCACAGCUCCCUGCUUAGAUUGAGCAGCAUUUCAUUGCAUCUCUUCUUUGAGACUCUAAAAAUCUCUUCGAGACUUUCCAUGUACUUCCCAGCAGAGAUGACCUAUUGCAAUAAUACUAAUAAGAGAAUAGGGGCUUAGAGAACAUAGAUAACCCGUAUAAAUAGAGAGUAUUGUAAUUGAUUUCAAUAGUGAAGAAUUCAAUAAUACAAUGAUUCCUUCUCUCUCUAUUUCUCUCUCCCUCUCAAUUCUAUUUUCUCUUUUCAUCUAAUAUGAUUCUUUCUAUCAUCUCACUCUAAUCUUCUGCUUCUCAUCUCAAUUUCUUCUCUUUCUCAUCUUUAAAUUUUGUUCUCAUCUCAAUCUGAUUUUUCGUCUCUAUUCUAUAGAGCAUUUGCCUUAUCUAUUUCCUCUAUGUCUAUCCCACGAGAUUGGAAAGAAGCUCUCAAAGAUUCUAAUUGGAAGGGAGAAAUGAAAACCUUGGCUAAAAAUAAAAUCUGAUAGUUGGUGUCUCUUCCACUUGAAAAAAAAUAAGUUGGUUGCAAAUGGGUGUUCACUGGAAAACACAAAGUAGAUGGAUCAAUUGAAAGAUUCAAGGCCAUACUAGUUGCCAAGGGAUACAUUCAAAUCUAUGAAUUGGAUUACCAGGAAACAUUUAUCUCUGUUGCCAAAAUAAACUCAACUAAAAUAUUGCUAUCUUGCGUUGUCAAUCUUGAUUGAGACUUACAACAAUUUGAUAUGAAAAAUGCAUUCCUCUAUGGAGAUUUAGAAGAGGAAAUGUAUAUGGAAAUCCUUGCUGGAUUUGUUGAUAAAAAAACACAAGGAAAGUUGUGUAGGCUAAAGAAGACUUUGUAUGGGUUAAAGCAGUCACUCAGAACUUGGUUUGAUCGAUUCAGUACAGCUAUAAUUUUCUUUGGCUAUCAGUAGAGUAAUGUUGAUUGAGGUUGUCAGAUCAAAGAGGAGAACCUUUAUUUUUCAGAGGAAAUAUAUUCUGGAUCUUUUGAAAGAAACUGGUAUGUUAUAAGCUACAAACAAGAAUUAGUGAAUCGGUGGAUAUUAAUAGAUAUCAGAGGUUGGUAGGAAGACUGAUUUAUCUCACAUACUUGAUCGGACAUAGUAUAUGCAUAGUAUAUGCAGUCAGCUUAGUCACUCAAUUUAUGAAUGAUCCUCGUGAGCCUCACAUGCAAGCUGUUUUUCGCAUUCUGCGAGACUUGAAGUCUACUCCUAGAAAAGGUCUCCUAUUCUCUAAAUAUGGUCAUCUAGAUCCUUUGAUUAUAGGACUAUUGGUUACUGCACACUUGUGGGAGGAAACUUAGUCACUUGGAGAAUCAAAAAGCAAAGUGUUGUUACUCGAUCAAGUGCUGAAGCUGAUUAUAGAGCAAUGGCACAAGAUAUUUGUAAACUCAUAUGGUUGCAAAGAUUGUUGGAGGAAUUGAAACUGUUGGAGAGUGAUAAACUACUCUUAUACGAUGACAACAAAGCUGCCAUCGGUAUAGCUCAUAAUUCGGUUCAACAUGAUCGAACGAAGCACAUAGUGAUUGAUCGAUACUUUAUUAAAGAGAAAUCAAUAAAUGGUGCCUUGGGAUUAGAUCAUAUGCAUUUUGAUGAGCAGCUAACUGUAUGUUUACCAAAGGGCUCAACAACAAGACCUAUCACACCUUGGUUUGCAAGUUGGGUAUGUGUGAUAUUUAUAUGCCAACAUGAGGGAGAAUGAGGGAGAAUGGUGACCAACAUGGAAGGUUACUAAUCAGGAGGAUUCAGAUCCUUGGGAUCCUAAUUAGGUAUGAUUAUAGGAUUUUAUUUUCUUCCUUUAUUGUAGAUAUUCCUAAUUAGGUGUGUUAAUAUUCCUAAAUUAGGUUGAUUUUUUGUGUCUAAAUACUCAACCAAAAUUCUUCAUUUCUUGAUUACAACUGGAUGCCAAUACAAGACUUUUUGUUGCAGAUGCAUUUGUGGGUAAGCACUAUCAGAGGAAGCGUUGGAAUCAUGGCAAAAACACGUAAUUGGCAGCAGCAUUUUUCAGCAAUAUCAUUAUCCAGCAUUAUCAGUUAUGCAUUGGGACUUAUCUGCUAUCAUUACCCAGCAUUAUCAGUUAUGCAUUAGGACUUAUCU
rnacentral:lncRNA from 1 species